GUGAUCCAGUUCUAACCUACAGAACGCGUGGCCUGGUUCUUCACGAGGUGGGAGGAACGUUCUGAAGGGAGAAUCCUGAGAAUCAGGAAUUUAAGAAGAAGCUGAUCUAAAAUGAGUUUUUGUUACUAUCUGUAGAUAAAUAAGACGUCACAUCCAAACCACAGCUUUAGUUUUGUUUCUGUUCAGUUGGAAAGAAGUUUGUUUUUUUAACCUUCAGCUUCAAUUGGUUCAUUUUUCCGAUGGCUUUGAGGAGAACAUGUUCAUCUUUUUUUACGUUUAGAUAUCAUAUAACAGCAUUUAAAUAACAUUUAUAUAACAAGCAUUGCACAUUUUGAGCAAUGCUAAAUACAUAUUGACGCUUGAAAUAGUGAUAAAGUGAGUAAACAUACAACAUGCACAACAUGCUAUGGCAGCGUGAAUAUAAUGUGCACCUUAACACUUUAAUGCGGUUAUUGUGAUGUCACUCACACUAGAGCUCCAUUGGUGAGAUCUCUGUACCCAGCAUGCAACAUGUUAUGAACUCAUAACAACGGCGUCUCUUCAGAACACUGAACGUCACACCAGAGACCAAAAAGAAAAUCAACUCAAUUUAACAGCGGCCCUAAAUAAAGCAAGCGGUGACACAGAUUCAUCAGCUUCAGAUUAAAUGAAACUUUAUUGAUCCCCUCAGGGAGAAAAGCUGAGAGCUGAAUAUAAUUAGAAGUUUGGUGAGUGAAACCCGGCGUGUUCGGGACAAAGGAAGAAGAAAUGACGAACAGAAAGGGACAAAAACACAGAGACAGACGGAGAAAAAGCAGCGAGAUAAAGUCUUUAUUCCACAUUUCACCCAAACGCUGCACGGAGACGGAGGACAUGAAAUGUCACGUCAACAGAAAGCUGAAAUAACAUUUCAGAGAACGAUGGUGAAAUUGCACUAAAAGAAAAUUCCACAUUGUUUAGCAAAGUCCUACAAAACCAAUUAUUUAAAUCUAAAAACUGUAUUUUUGUUUUAUUGUCAUUUAGAAAACUAAACUACUUUUAGGUUAAAACAAUGAAAAGUUUACAGAAAGAACUUUUCGAUUCACUUUGUCGUCGGUCUCCAUUAAACGUCCCACAGUGUGAAUAUCUACACAACAACGUAGCUGGUUUGUGCUUCUCUGUCUACCGUUUAUUACUAUUAUGAUGAAAUGUCACAGCGUGAGAUGUUCCUUCGGUACCAGGAGGACGGGCUCUCCGCUCCACGCCGCACAGGAUCACAGCCCGAUGCGGUUCUCCGGGUUCCACCAGCGGAGGACAGAACACGCGGCUCCUCUCUCUCUCUUCGGUUUCUGCCUCCCCAGUGAAACCGCUGGUUGCCGUGGGUUACGAGGAGGACCCGGACUGGGGACACGUCAGAGGUCCCUUCUGACCCUGUUUCCUUUCCUCUUUUGAUCCCUGGAUUGAGGGAAGGAGUAAAUCCCACUCAGGAAUUAAGUCUAAGAGCUCGGAUACCUCGUGUGUGGGGGGUUAUGGGGGGGGGGGGGGGGGGGCCGUCUCUGGACCAAGCGGGAACGCAGCCAAUCCUUUCUAAAGUAGAUGUGGAAUUAAUUCAGCCCGGUGGGAUGGAAGACGUCAUCCAACAGAGAACAUCCCUCUUAUUGUAUCAGCAGUAAAGCCGAUGGAAACUUCACAGAGGCGUAUUGUCAGUUAUCUAUUAAACGCCUGUCACCCAGCAGCUGAUGUCACAUCAACAAAGUCAUAAUAUUUUCAUGACAACUCGACUCCUGUGAUCUUCAUCGGUGCUCCUCAUCAGAGGAAGAUGCUGUGUGAUUAGUGACUCGUGAGCUUGGUUUGAUCCGGGCCUCCUCAUGCUCUGCUGUUCAGCUCCCUCCAUCUUUUACCCGCUGACUCCGGAUGCACAUCAGCGCCUUUCGCUCUCUCUCUCUUAGAAAUAAUAUAAUCAAUGAUAAAAUAAGACUUCAAGCGCAACGCCGACAAAGUGCUUCAGCAAUUAAAUACAGUCAAACAUCAAGUGAAAAUCAAUUAAAAAAGAAAAAGAAAAGUAAUCUGUGUGAGAUACACGGAGGGUAAAAAUAAUAUAUUUGUAAAAAUAAUAGGAUGAAAGCCGUCACAUAACGGAGGCUCCUUCCACCUCAACCCCCAUCGGCCCCCCGCCGCAGAGGAGAUGGAGUGUUGCUCUUGUUUUAAUUAUGCAGAGGAGGCUGCAGAGCAGGACAGGACAUGUUUCAGUGUCGUCGCCAAUUAAGCAGCUUCACCCAGUCGUGGAGCUGGAAGCCGAGGAAGAGGAGGAGGAUGAAGGAGGGAGAGCGAGGAAAUGACAGAGGAGAGAGAAAUGGAUUGAAUGCAUGAGAGUCUUUUUCUUAUUUUCCACACAAAUGGAGACGCUUGUGGUGAAGACGUGCAGCCUGAACUCCAGCUACAGCGGAACAAAGGCAGCCCCGGGGACACAAGUACUACCGUGGUAGUACUAGCUGGGGUGGAAGUAGCAGUAGUAUUGGUGAUGCUUUUAUCCAAAGCCACUUACAUUACAUUCUUAACCCAUGGCUUCUUUCACAUUUUGCCCGGGGAGCCGGUUUCGAACCACCGACCUUACGGCCCCCGGCGGACCCUCUCUACGCCUGCGCCACGUCCACCCCACAGAUGUGGUACAAGUACCAGCGUUGCUGCUGCAGGUGUUACAGAUGUGUUUAGGGCAGGAGAAGUCGACUCUUUUCAGCAUUUAUUUUAUAAUAAAGACGCACCACAGCUGAGAACCGUGGUCAUGUGACCCACGCUAACGGUAACUGAUGUUAACAGUUGUAUUUAAGAACAAAGCGCAAUAGUGCGUCAUCGUUUUUCUCUCAACGUACCUUCAACAGAGUAACGCUUGUGUGAAGGAAAAACGGGACUACGGAAGCCGAGGAGGCGCAGGAGAGAUUAAUCGCAAUUUCCGCAAAUUUAACUCAUCAAAAUAAAAUUCACACACACACUCAACAAGAUUGUUGAAUAAUAACCAAAAAUAAAAAGACAUUGAAGAUGACAGUGUAUUUUUUUAAAAGCCACCAGAUAGAUGGAAGUAGAUGAGAGUGGAAGUACAAGUAGUACUGGUAGGAGUAGCACAGUAACAGUAGUAGUAAAGCAGUACCACAGUAACUUACAGUAACAUGAGUAGCAGUAGUAGUCGUACAAUCAAAGUAUUAAAGCUAAUUUAUUCAGUCUUCAAGUACCUUCUGGCUCCUCCCACCAAACGGGUGACUCCUCCAACCGGACUGGUAAGCCCUCCCAUCAAAUUGAUGACUCCUCCCAUAUGACUGGUCACUCCUCGCACCGAGCGGCAGAACACGGACUCUGGCUAUUGAUCUGGAUCGCAUACUGCCCCCCCCCCCGGCUCCAUUGUGGCUCUGGGGUGUCAGGCUGGGACUCGGCUGGCUGAAGGGUCAUUACCACUCCUCCAUCCAUAACCAUUCUAAUAGACUUCCAACCGGCUAUUUACAUUGGGGAGGUGUUCCUCUGAACGUAUUGACUUUCAUAAAAUAUAUGUGCGUUUGGCUACCUUAAGAUCAAUAAAGCCAUUUAAGGAGUAUUAUCAUUAAGAGGUGACCGUGUGUUACGUGUGUGUGCGUGUGUGUGUGUGGGAGGUGGUAAUCUACCGCGGUAUGAGGCCUUAAACCAACAUCAUUUACUGCAUGACUGCACCGUCAGUCUGUCGACCACACACACACACGCACACACACACACACACACCAUGGUGAAUAAUUCCGCUCCUGACCUCAGCGUGGACGGAGAGACGAGCAGAAGAUGUGAGCAGAAGAAGCAACGAAGCUCGAGCUCGGCUUCGUUGCUUCACUUCUCCUUUGUUGUACUUUCACUUUGCUCUUCAUUGUCAGCCGAGGUUAUUGGUUCCUUUCACACUUCAUGUAAUUGACAAUAAAAACAGGCUGUUCUCACAAAAGGAAGAAGAUAUUGAAUCUCCGACAUGUUUUUCAUCAUUAAUGAAAAAGCGCCACUGGUUCUCUUUUCUUGACGGGUUUGUUAUUUUAAAGCAGAUUUUUUAUUUCAACAUAUUUUAAUAAGGAACUGGUAUAAAACCCUUAUAUAACACGUUGAAUUUGAACUGUAUCGUGCAGCGAAUGCUGCUCAAAGGUUCAGACUUUGUCUCUAUUGAGACAUAAAUAUGUAAAUCUCCAUUUUUAUAUGAAGCUCCAGUCAAAACACGACCAAAAUCUCCAUAACUAUGAUCGUCCACAGAGACCAGUCCCCCGUGGACACACCCAGAUCCUCCACAUAACUCCUCAGAGGUUAAACGUGAUGGUCAGAGCAGAGUGCAUUGUGGGAUACCGAAAGCUGUUCUUCGCUCUCAUAACAGACGAGGUGGAUAAUGAAGACAUCGUCCUCCAGAUGUUCACAGAGCUUCUUUCAGUGUUUAGCUGAAAGAAACCGGACCACAUGGGUGUGUGUGUGUUUGGGGGGGGCACCGCAGACAGCGACCCCCCACAGAGAGAGCUGAUCCUCACAGCCAAAGCUUUCACAGGGUUCACAACCCAGUCCACCGUGGACAGACCCAGAUCCUCCACAGAGACCCGCCAUCGCUGCUUUGGACCUGCAGUUGGAACUCUGGGGAAGAACAACGUCUCCUCCUUGUCCUCCUUCUCCAGGAGCAGAGCUUCUCCACACUGGAGACCAAGGACGUAGUGCUGGACCCGCUGGAGGGAAGGAAGGCCCAGUAGAACCAGAACCAGGCCUGAGAGCACGGACCGUGGGACCCUGGAGCAGGUGGUCACUGAGCAGCUGACUGACGUCCCGUACUUGUUUCACUGUGUAAAGGGGGACAAAAGGACAUGUGAGUCCUUUCAUGUGGUCCCCCCCUCCUUAUCGCUCCUCCUGGUUCAGGCUGAUAAAUGCGCUGUGAUUUCACACACGUUUCCCCCUUUUGUUCACCUGUAAAUGAAAACGAGUGGCCGCGGCGCUAAAGGAAAGAUGAAUGAAUCCAGACGGUUUUUCAUAAUGCGUAUUUACAUUAAAAGCAGAUAUUGUUUCGGCGUGUUUAGCCGCGGUGUCUCAGUAGCGCUUAUCAUCGCGCCGUGAGGCUCCUGAGCCGGAGCGUAUCUGCUCGCCACAGAGAGGAGAUCAGCCUGCUUUCACAAUCAUACUUCAUGCAUUGUUAAAUAACUGUAGUUUUUAGGGAGCUGACUCAGUACUUUGUCUCUUUUCCUAGAAGUACCACUCUUCCAAUUCUUAACAAAACGAAUGAAAAAGUCUUCUUCGUGAGCCAGAGGGCUGCGAUAUAUUGAAUCAUUAAAUGAGGGAUGGGAAGUGAAGAAGCUUAGAUGUGUUUCAUGUCUUCGUGUUAAUGCUGGUUACAUAUCCACUAAUGUGCUGCUUGAGUACGACUGUGACCACGACAGAAACACGUUUUCAGAUGAACUCCUAAAACUCAACUACCUGCAGUCGAAGGCUCAGCACUCGUGAUGAAGAGGAGCGUCCUGCAGAGGAAGGUGUUCAGCUCCAGACUCCAGGAGGCCUCAAGCAGGCGGAGACCACCGGGACCCCGGGAAUAUGAAAAGACCAGCGUUUUGUGGAUUGAGCCGCGCCCAUGCAGGGACGAGCCCCUGGCCUCGGUGAGAGGACGGUACCGAUCUCCCACCAUAGAUGCAACGUGACCCCACCCCCCCCCCCCCGGGAGCACUGGGGGGAGCAGCAGGAUUAAGAAACUAAUUCAGAGUGAAGACGAGUGAACCAAGCGCCUCCUGCAGGCUGUAGAAGCUCUUCUGAAGACCUUUUCUGAUGCAAAAAGCGUGUGUGUGUGUGUGUGUGUGUGUGCGUGUGCGUGUGUGUGUGUGAGGGGGGGGGGGGGGGUCUCCUCUGCAACCGGAAUAGUUCGAGAGAGGAUUAAAGAGGGAGCGCUUGUUCCAGCUCAGCUUCCUGUGUGACUGGGGCAAACCCCCCCGCUGGCUCGGGUCCUGGCUCUGGGUUUUCCACGGUUCGACCUGUGGGAGCGUUCAAUUAGAGCCGCGAUCAAUCUCAGGCGGGGGGGGUGAAAGAAGAGGCUCGGCUCAGGACUCCAGAUCUCAGGAGGAAAUAUGAAAUCCUAUCAGUCCAUCUUCAAUUUACCCCCAGGUCUCUCCAGCGGGACAGAUAUUGGACGGGGGGGGGGGCAGAGAGGAUGGAGGAUACAGUAUGUGAUAAACAUCACACAAAAUAAAGAUAAAGGAAGAGGAGAUGAGGACGCGUAAAAAGAUGAGUUGAAUAAAAGAGAAGAGGGGCGAAGAUAAAAUACUAGUUGUGAUAAAAAGAAACUAUAUAUAUAUAUAUAUAUAUAUAUAUAUAUAUAUAUAUAUAUAUAUAUAUAUAUAUAUAUAGUAGACGAGUAGACUAAUUUAUAUAUGUAUAUAUAUAUAUAUAUAUAUGUA
ensembl:lncRNA